GCAGCCGCCGCGGUAAAACGAGGGGUGCAAGCGUUAUUCGGAUUGAUUGGGUGUAAAGGGUGUGCAGACGGCUUAUUAAGUCACUUGUUAAAUUCUUCGGCCUAACUGAAGGUCUGCAAGUGAUACUGAUGAGCUAGAGGGUGGAAGAGAGAAGUGGAAUUCUCGGAGUAGCGGUGAAAUGCGUAGAUAUUAGGAAGAACACCAGUGGCGAAGGCGACUUUCUGGACGAAAACUGACGCUGAGGAGCGAAAGCGUGGGGAGCGAACAGGAUUAGAUACCCCAGUAGUCCCUGUCUCUUAUAA
rnacentral:rRNA from 1 species